AGCAGCCGCGGUAAUUCCAGCUCCAAUAGCGUAUAUUAAAGUUGUUGCAGUUAAAAGCUCGCAGUUGAAUUUCGGGAUUGGCGCAUCGGUCGUGCCUCACGGGGUAUGAACUGGUGCAGUCAAUUUCUCACCUUCUGGAGAACCGCGAUGUCCUUAAUUGGAUGCCGCGGGGAACCAGGACCUUUACUUUGAAAAAACUUAGAGUGUUUAAAGCAGGCAUUUUUGCUUGAAUACAUUAGCAUGGAAUAAUAAAAUAGGACGGCAUGGUUCUAUUUUGUUGGUUUCUAGGACCACCGUAAUGAUUAAUAGGGAUAGUUGGGGGCAUUAGUAUUCAAUUGUCAGAGGUGAAAUUCUUGGAUUUAUUGAAGACUAACUACUGCGAAAGCAUUUGCCAAGGAUGUUUUCAUUAAUCAAGAGCGAAAGUUAGGGGAUCGAAGACGAUCAGAUACCGUCGUAGUCUUAACCAUAAACUAUGCCGACUAGGAAUCAGACGAUGUUAAUUUUUUAAUGACUCGUUUGG
rnacentral:rRNA from 1 species